GGGCUGGUAGCUCAGUCGGUAGAGCAGGGGACUGAAAAUCCCCGUGUCGGCGGUUCGAUUCCGUCCCGGCCCACCA
rnacentral:tRNA from 1 species